rnacentral:tRNA from 1 species
UGGCCCAUUAGCUCAGUUGGUUAGAGUGUUGUGCUAAUAACGCGAAGGUCGCAGGUUUGAGACCUGCAUGGGCCAU